rnacentral:rRNA from 1 species
AUUGAACGCUGGCGGCAUGCUUUACACAUGCAAGUCGAACGGCAGCGCGGGCUUCGGCCUGGCGGCGAGUGGCGAACGGGUGAGUAAUGCAUCGGAACGUGCCCAGUAGUGGGGGAUAGCCCGGCGAAAGCCGGAUUAAUACCGCACACGACCUGAGGGUGAAAGCGGGGGACCGAAAGGCCUCGCGCUAUUGGAGCGGCCGAUGUCGGAUUAGCUAGUUGGUGGGGUAAAGGCUUACCAAGGCGACGAUCCGUAGCUGGUCUGAGAGGACGACCAGCCACACUGGGACUGAGACACGGCCCAGACUCCUACGGGAGGCAGCAGUGGGGAAUUUUGGACAAUGGGGGCAACCCUGAUCCAGCUAUGCCGCGUGCGGGAAGAAGGCCUUCGGGUUGUAAACCGCUUUUGUUCGGGAAGAAAUCCUCUGGGCUAAUACCCCGGGGGGAUGACGGUACCGGAAGAAUAAGCACCGGCUAACUACGUG